rnacentral:rRNA from 1 species
CCCUUAGAUGUCCUGGGCCGCACGCGCGCUACACUGAACGGAUCAGCGCGUUUUCCCUUCCCGAGAGGGACGGGUAACCUGCUGAACCCCGUUCGUGGUAGGGAUCGGGGCUUGCAAUUAUUCCCCGUGAACCAGGAAUGCCCAGUAAGUGCAAGUCAUAAGCUUGCGUUGAUUACGUCCCUGCCCUUUGUACACACCGCCCGUCGCACCUACCGAUUGAAUGGUCCGGUGAAGCCUCCGGAUUGGCGCGCACCUCGGUGCCGCCGAGAAGUUGGCUAAACCUUNCNAUUUAGNGGAAGGUGAANUCGUANCA